rnacentral:rRNA from 1 species
UGGGGAAUAUUGCACAAUGGGCGCAAGCCUGAUGCAGCCAUGCCGCGUGUAUGAAGAAGGCCUUCGGGUUGUAAAGUACUUUCAGUCGGGAGGAAGGUGGUAAGGUUAAUAACCUUAUCAAUUGACGUUACCGACAGAAGAAGCACCGUCUAACUCCGUGCCAGCAGCCGCGGUAAUACGGAGGGUGCAAGCGUUAAUCGGAAUUACUGGGCGUAAAGCGCACGCAGGCGGUUGAUUGAGUCAGAUGUGAAAUCCCCGUGCUUAACCCGGGAAUUGCAUCUGAUACAGGUCAGCUAGAGUCUUGUAGAGGGGGGUAGAAUUCCAUGUGUAGCGGUGAAAAGCGUAGAGAUGUGGAGGAAUACCGGUGGCGAAGGCGGCCCCCUGGACAAAGACUGACGCUCAGGUGCGAAAGCGUGGGGAGCAAACAGG